rnacentral:ncRNA from 1 species
UUCCGCUAGGGGUGCUGUGACAACAGCUGAGAUAAGAAUGUUUUCUUGAUCCCUUAGAACCUGAACUGGUUAAUACCAGCGUAGGGAAGUGGAGC